rnacentral:rRNA from 1 species
GAUGAACGCUGGCGGCGUGCCUAAUACAUGCAAGUCGAGCGAAUGGAUUAAGAGCUUGCUCUUAUGAAGUUAGCGGCGGACGGGUGAGUAACACGUGGGUAACCUGCCCAUAAGACUGGGAUAACUCCGGGAAACCGGGGCUAAUACCGGAUAACAUUUUGAACCGCAUGGUUCGAAAUUGAAAGGCGGCUUCGGCUGUCACUUAUGGAUGGACCCGCGUCGCAUUAGCUAGUUGGUGAGGUAACGGCUCACCAAGGCAACGAUGCGUAGCCGACCUGGGGGGGUGAUCGGCCACACUGGGACUGAGACACGGCCCAGACUCCUACGGGAGGCAGCAGUAGGGAAUCUUCCGCAAUGGACGAAAGUCUGACGGAGCAACGCCGCGUGAGUGAUGAAGGCUUUCGGGUCCUAAAACUCUGUUGUUAGGGAAGAACAAGUGCUAGUUGAAUAAGCUGGCACCUUGACGGUACCUUACGAGAAAGCCACGGCUAACUACGUGCCAGCAGCCGCCGUAA